rnacentral:rRNA from 1 species
GAUGAACGCUGGCGGCGUGCUCAACACAUGCAAGUCGAACGGUGAACACGGAGCUUGCUUCGUGGGAUCAGUGGCGAACGGGUGAGUAACACGUGAGCAACCUGCCCUGGACUCUGGGAUAAGCGCUGGAAACGGCGUCUAAUACUGGAUAUGAGCCUCUCUCGCCUGGUGGGGGUUGGACAGCUUUUUCGGGCGGGGAUGGGCUCGCGGCCUAUCAGCUUGUUGGUGAGGUAAUGGCUCACCAAGGCGUCGACGGGUAGCCGGCCUGAGAGGGUGACCGGCCACACUGGGACUGAGACACGGCCCAGACUCCUACGGGAGGCAGCAGUGGGGAAUAUUGCACAAUGGGCGGAAGCCUGAUGCAGCAACGCCGCGUGAGGGAUGACGGCCUUCGGGUUGUAAACCUCUUUUAGCAAGGAAGAAGCGAAAGUGACGGUACUUGCAGAAAAAGCGCCGGCUAACUACGUGCCAGCAGCCGCAGUAACAC